rnacentral:rRNA from 1 species
AGUGAACGCUGGCGGUAGGCCUAACACAUGCAAGUCGAACGGCAGCACAGUAAGAGCUUGCUCUUACGGGUGGCGAGUGGCGGACGGGUGAGGAAUACAUCGGAAUCUACUUUUUCGUGGGGGAUAACGUAGGGAAACUUACGCUAAUACCGCAUACGACCUACGGGUGAAAGCAGGGGAUCUUCGGACCUUGCGCGAUUGAAUGAGCCGAUGUCGGAUUAGCUAGUUGGCGGGGUAAAGGCCCACCAAGGCGACGAUCCGUAGCUGGUCUGAGAGGAUGAGCAGCCGCAGUGGGCCGAGGACAGCGCCGACACGAGUACGGGGAGCGGAAGGGGAGAAUAGUGGACAAUGGGCGCAAGCGUGAUCCCGCGAGCGGGCGUGGGUGAAGGAGGCCUUCGGUUUGGAAAGAAGUUUGGGUGGGAAAGAAAAGCAGAAGGUUAAUUCCCCGCUGUUCUGACGGUACCCAACAAAGAAGCAGCGGCUAACGUCGGGGCAGCAGCCGCGGUAAGAAAGGAAAAAGCACACGUCUGACC